rnacentral:rRNA from 1 species
GACGAAGGGGGCUAGCGUUGUUCGGAAUUACUGGGCGUAAAGCGCGUGUAGGCGGUUGCCCAAGUCGGGUGUGAAAGCCUUGAGCUCAACUCAAGAAAUGCACUCGGUACUGGGUGACUAGAGGACCGGAGAGGAUAGUGGAAUUCCCAGUGUAGUGGUGAAAUACGUAGAGAUUGGGAAGAACACCAGUGGCGAAGGCGGCUAUCUGGACGGUUUCUGACGCUAAGACGCGAAAGCGUGGGGAGCAAGCAGG